CUUUUUAUUUCUUCUUCCGUCCUGCCAUCACCGCAUCUGUGCACCAUUUUCUCUUCCCUGUUCCCCUCUUCUCCAGGCUCCAAGAUUGGUGAGUUCUAAUUGUUUCUUCUCUGCAUAUCUUUUUUUGAGAACAGUAUGUUGAGUUUGGAUUUUAUUUGAAUCUCUCUAUUUGUUUUUCUGAGUUAGGGUUUAUAGGGUUUUGAUGUUUGUUUGUGAGUUGUUAGUUUGAAUUAGGUGAAAUCGUUUGUAUUGACGAUGGCUGCUUCUUCGUCGUCUUUCAAACCCUGCCGCCUGCCUAUCUCGGAGUUUCAUCCAUCAGACGAAUCCCGGAUGACCCUAACUGGGAGUCUGAAACUACGUUAGAGUUCGAGGACGACGAUGAACCCUGGGAAGGUGAAAGGGUUCGAUAUUCCUUCACUUCCUGAUAAUGGUAUGUGUGGUGGACUUGAACGGGUUUCCAGACGCUGCCUAUCUAGCGAUUAUCUUCGAGAAUGUGCUGAAGUUGGCAUCAAAGAUUUCAACUCUCAGAAUGUGUACUCCAUCUCUCUAAUCUAAUCUUACAGAUUUUGAAAGGGUACCGACUUUGAGUUUGUGGAGAUUGAAAAGGCUUGCAGUCAGGUUGUGUGUGGUUGUAUGUUCUAUCUCACUCUCAAGGUUAGGCCUCAGGGGAUGCCUUCUGAUUACCCAACCACUUCCCUUCAGGCCAAAGUUCUGUACGGAAUUGGGGAAAACAAUAUUACUACUGAAUUCUGCAGAUAUACAACUGAAGGAAAGUGACGCCUCUUGCUCUUCAUCUUGCUGCUACUGCUGCUGGUUUCUGAUCCUCACUCACAUGGUGAUGGCUUUAUAUAAGUAUUCUCAUACUACUAUGUUUAAUAUCUGACUUCUAUGUUUAAUGUUUUCUUAUCAUU